rnacentral:lncRNA from 1 species
CGCAUCUGCUGCGUCUUCCGUCCACUGGCGAAAAACCUGCAGCAGCAGAGAGUUUCGCCGUUUCGUUUCGUUUCGCUCGUUAACGCGGUUCGCUUUGUUUCGCCUGCAACGCAAGGGCAAAGCCACGAAUGGGUCUCCCUCCCUCCAUUCUCGCCAACGUUCUGAACCUCACGUAGCCGCAACCCCCCAAAAUUCGAGCACAUUUUAAUCGAUCGAUUUGAUUGGAUUUCAUGGGAGAUAGCUCCGUCUUCUUGUAGGGUUGGAUCAAGAAGGGGCUAAUUCCAUCCGGCAUUAGCCUUCUUCUUGGUUAAUUUAGUUUCUUUUUUAGUGUUUUUAUUAUUAAGGCAGUUCUUGAUUCCUCCCUCUUGAUUGAACUUCUUUCUUUGCCCUGUUUACUUACUUCCGUUUUACAUCUUCGGUGCUGUCGAUUUCUCACUGAGAUCUCUUCGUUUUUUUUUUGUUUCUUUCCAUUUGAUUUUUGCGCAUCACGGCUCAAAUUUUCGGAUGGAUGCAUUGCGUGUGCGCUCCCUCGAUAUCUGUUUGUAGACACGUUGCAUGGGUGCGUUUUCUUGGAAGAUUUGGGGCUUUAAUUGAAGCAAAGAGAGAGAGAGAGAGACAACGAUUUCAUAUCCAUCUCCUCCUGCAUUAGAAACAAAAAUUUAAUUUGGCGCAUCUAGGAAGAGACCAUAUAAGGAGGAGAAAGCAGGUUCUUUCCAUUUCUCGCACACAGAGAGAGCCAGGGCAGAUCGUACGUCCCNN